GCGAACGCUGGCGGCAGGCCUAAAACAUGCAAGUCGAACGCCGUAGCAAUACGGAGUGGCAGACGGGUGAGUAACACGUGGGAACGUGCCCUUUGGUUCGGAACAACACAGGGAAACUUGUGCUAAUACCGGAUAAGCCCUUACGGGAAAGAUUUAUCGCCAAAGGAUCGGCCCGCGUCUGAUUAGCUAGUUGGUGAGGUAACGGCUCACCAAGGCUACGAUCAGUAGCUGGUCUGAGAGGAUGAUCAGCCACACUGGGACUGAGACACGGCCCAGACUCCUACGGGAGGCAG
rnacentral:rRNA from 1 species